GACGAACGCUGGCGGCGUGCUUAACACAUGCAAGUCGAACGGAAAGGCCCUGCUUGCAGGGUGCUCGAGUGGCGAACGGGUGAGUAACACGUGGGUGAUCUGCCCCUUACUUUGGGAUAAGCCUGGGAAACUGGGUCUAAUACUGGAUAGGACCAUGCUGUAGGUGGUGUGGUGGAAAGAUUAGUUUCGGUAAGGGAUGAGCUCGCGGCCUAUCAGCUUGUUGGUGGGGUAAUGGCCUACCAAGGCGUCGACGGGUAGCCGGCCUGAGAGGGUGGACGGCCAAUUUGGGACGGAGAUACGGCCCAGACUCCUACGGGGGGGAGCAGUGGGGAAUAUUGCACAAUGGGGGCAAGCCUGAUGCAGCGACGCCGCGUGGGGGAUGACGGCCUUCGGGUUGUAAACUCCUUUAAACCAUGACGAAGCCCUUGUGGUGGCGGUAGUGGUAGAAGGAGCACCGGCUAACUACGU
rnacentral:rRNA from 1 species